rnacentral:SRP_RNA from 1 species
UGGUCCCUUUGCGACAUGAAAUAGCAAACCCCGCCAGGUCCGGAAGGAAGCAACGGUAGCUUGAUCUGCGUGUGCCGUAGGGUGCCUGGC